rnacentral:lncRNA from 1 species
GGAAAUCGAAUAAGGAAAUGAAAAUCCAAUAAGGAAAUUGAAACCGAAUAAGGAAAUACCGAAAAAGGAAAUGAAUAUUGAAAAAGGAAAUGAAUAUUGAAAAAGGAAGAAGAAACCGAAUAGGGAAAAGAAAAUCGAAUAAGGAAAUGAAAAUCGAAUAAGGAAAUGGAAAUCGAAUAAGGAUGAUAAUCGAAAAAGGAAAAAGAAAACGA